rnacentral:rRNA from 1 species
GCCCGAGUACUACGAGCUAUAGCUUAAAACUCAAAGGACUUGGCGGUGCCCUACACCCACCUAGAGGAGCCUGUUCUAUAAUUGAUACCCCCCAAUAAACCUCACCACUCCUUGCCAAUACAGCCUAUAUACCACCGUCACAAGCCUACCCCCCAAAGGUAAAACAGUUAGCCUAAUAAUUUAAGAAUUUAAAAGUCAGGUCAAGGUGUAACAUAUGGAGCGGAAAGAAAUGGGCUACAUUUUCUUUAAAGAAAAUACGAAAUAUUUUAUGAAAUAUAAUAUGAAGGAGGAUUUAGCAGUAAACAGAAAAAAGAGUGUUCUCUUUAAUUUGGUAAUAGGGCAAGCACACACCGCCCGUCACCCUCUCCAAUUAUAAUUGAAUUAAAUAAAAUAUAAAAUACAAAAGAAGAGGAAAGUCGUAACAUGGUAAGUCUACCGGAAGGUGGCCUUGGACU